UUUGAGGUCUAUCCUGAUGGAGCUUUUCCUGUAGCCACACAUCAUUGGAAACGCCUCAUACAGUAACUUGGUGGUUUUGCUUUACUCCCAGGUCUAUUUCUUCGGUCUAUGGGGUGGAACUACAAGACAGCU